GACGGAGGAUGCAAGCGUUAUCCGGAAUGAUUGGGCGUAAAGCGUCCGCAGGUGGCAAUUCAAGUCUGCUGUUAAAGCGUCUGGCUCAACCAGAUAAAGGCAGUGGAAACUACAUAGCUAGAGUAAGGUAGGGGUAGAGGGAAUUCCUGGUGUAGCGGUGAAAUGCGUAGAGAUGUGGAGGAAUACCGAUGGCGAAGGCAGCCCCCCUGGGAUAACACUGACGCUCAUGCACGAAAGCGUGGGGAGCAAACAGGAUUAGAGUACCCGU
rnacentral:rRNA from 1 species